CUUCGCAUGGACGAAGUCUGACGGAGCACGCCGCGUGAGUGAUGAAGGUUUUCGGAUCGUAAAGCUCUGUUGUUAGGGAAGAACAAGUACCGUUCGAAUAGGGCGGUACCUUGACGGUACCUAACCAGAAAGCCACGGCUAACUACGUGCCAGCAGCCGCGGUAAUACGUAGGUGGCAAGCGUUGUCCGGAAUUAUUGGGCGUAAAGGGCUCGCAGGCGGUUUCUUAAGUCUGAUGUGAAAGCCCCCGGCUCAACCGGGGAGGGUCAUUGGAAACUGGGGAACUUGAGUGCAGAAGAGGAGAGUGGAAUUCCACGUGUAGCGGUGAAAUGCGUAGAGAUGUGGAGGAACACCAGUGGCGAAGGCGACUCUCUGGUCUGUAACUGACGCUGAGGAGCGAAAGCGUGGGGAGCGAACAGGAUUAGAUACCCUGGUAGUCCACGCCGUAAACGAUGAGUGCUAAGUGUUAGGGGGUUUCCGCCCCUUAGUGCUGCAGCUAACGCAUUAAGCACUCCGCCUGGGGAGUACGGUCGCAAGACUGAAACUCAAAGGAAUUGACGGGGGCCCGCACAAGCGGUGGAGCAUGUGGUUUAAUUCGAAGCAACGCGAAGAACCUUACCAGGUCUUGACAUCCUCUGACAAUCCUAGAGAUAGGACGUCCCCUUCGGGGGCAGAGUGACAGGUGGUGCAUGGUUGUCGUCAGCUCGUGUCGUGAGAUGUUGGGUUAAGUCCCGCAACGAGCGCAACCCUUGAUCUUAGUUGCCAGCAUUCAGUUGGGCACUCUAAGGUGACUGCCGGUGACAAACCGGAGGAAGGUGGGGAUGACGUCAAAUCAUCAUGCCCCUUAUGACCUGGGCUACACACGUGCUACAAUGGACAGAACAAAGGGCAGCGAAACCGCGAGGUUAAGCCAAUCCCCACAAAUCUGUUUCUCAGUUCGGAUCGCAGUCUGCAACUCGACUGCGUGAAGCUGGAAAUCGCUAGUAAUCGCGGAUCAGCAUGCCGCGGUUGAUAUACGUUCCGGGUCCUUGUACACACUGCCUCGUCCACACUCACGAGAGCUGCUAACAACCUCGAAAGUCGGUGGAGGUAACCUUUUAGGUAGCCAGCGCCGAACGGUUGGGA
rnacentral:rRNA from 1 species